GAAGGGACCACCGGGAACAGACGGAUCGGCAGGGCGGGGCGGAACGGUGUCCCUAAGGUAUCAGUGUUAUCCAGAACCAAGAACUCAGUGGAGGAAUGAAAAAGGCAGCAUCUUUAAAAUAAUGUUUAUUGGAAGGGGUUGCAAGAGCUUGCGAAGUCAUGAAGAACAAAGUUUUUUAGAGCCAUUAUGAAAUGGCAACGAUAAUACUGCACUCUAUGUGAACAGUUUCUGUUUCCUUCAUCUGGGGCACGUGCAUAUGAUCAACUUUGGACUUCUUUUGAGAUUGCCAGGCGUUUGCAAUGGCUGCUACUGUGAACUUGGAACUUGAUCCCAUUUUUUUGAAAGCACUAGGUUUCUUGCAUUCAAAGAGUAAAGAUUCUGCUGAAAAGCUAAAAGCACUGCUUGAUGAAUCUUUGGCUCGGGGCAUUGAUUCCAGUUACCGUCCAUCUCAAAAGGAUGUGGAGCCACCCAAAAUUUCAAGCACAAAAAACAUUUCCAUUAAGCAAGAGCCCAAAAUAUCAUCCAGUCUUCCUUCUGGUAAUAAUAAUGGCAAGGUCCUCAC
rnacentral:lncRNA from 1 species